rnacentral:rRNA from 1 species
GAUGAACGCUGGCGGCGUGCCUAAUACAUGCAAGUCGAGCGAACAGACGAGGAGCUUGCUCCUCUGACGUUAGCGGCGGACGGGUGAGUAACACGUGGAUAACCUACCUAUAAGACUGGGAUAACUUCGGGAAACCGGAGCUAAUACCGGAUAAUAUAUUGAACCGCAUGGUUCAAUAGUGAAAGACGGUUUUGCUGUCACUUAUAGAUGGAUCCGCGCCGCAUUAGCUAGUUGGUAAGGUAACGGCUUACCAAGGCAACGAUGCGUAGCCGACCUGAGAGGGUGAUCGGCCACACUGGAACUGAGACACGGUCCAGACUCCUACGGGAGGCAGCAGUGGGGAAUCUUCCGCAAUGGGCGAAAGCCUGACGGAGCAACGCCGCGUGAGUGAUGAAGGUCUUCGGAUCGUAAAACUCUGUUAUUAGGGAAGAACAAAUGUGUAAGUAACUAUGCACGUCUUGACGGUACCUAAUCAGAAAGCCCCGGCUAACUACGUG